rnacentral:rRNA from 1 species
GAUGAACGCUGGCGGCGUGCCUAAUACAUGCAAGUCGAGCGAACAGACGAGGAGCUUGCUCCUCUGACGUUAGCGGCGGACGGGUGAGUAACACGUGGAUAACCUACCUAUAAGACUGGGAUAACUUCGGGAAACCGGAGCUAAUACCGGAUAAUAUAUUGAACCGCAUGGUUCAAUAGUGAAAGACGGUUUUGCUGUCACUUAUAGAUGGAUCCGCGCCGCAUUAGCUAGUUGGUAAGGUAACGGCUUACCAAGGCAACGAUGCGUAGCCGACCUGAGAGGGGGAGCGCCCCAACUGGAACUGGGACACGGCCCAACCCCCUAGGGGGGGCAGGAGGGGGGAAUCUUCCGCAUGGGGGGAAAGCCGGACGGGGCAACCCGGGGUGGGUGAUGAAGGUCUUCGGAUGGUAAAACCUUUUUAUUAGGGAAAAAAAAAUGGGUAAGUAACGUUGCACGUCUUGGCGGUACCAAAUCAGAAAGCCACGGCUAACUACGU